AUUGAACGCUGGCGGCAGGCUUAACACAUGCAAGUCGAGCGGAGAUGAGGUGCUUGCACCUUAUCUUAGCGGCGGACGGGUGAGUAAUGCUUAGGAAUCUGCCUAUUAGUGGGGGACAACAUUCCGAAAGGGAUGCUAAUACCGCAUACGUCCUACGGGAGAAAGCAGGGGAUCUUCGGACCUUGCGCUAAUAGAUGAGCCUAAGUCGGAUUAGCUAGUUGGUGGGGUAAAGGCCUACCAAGGCGACGAUCUGUAGCGGGUCUGAGAGGAUGAUCCGCCACACUGGGACUGAGACACGGCCCAGACUCCUACGGGAGGCAGCAGUGGGGAAUAUUGGACAAUGGGGGGAACCCUGAUCCAGCCAUGCCGCGUGUGUGAAGAAGGCCUUAUGGUUGUAAAGCACUUUAAGCGAGGAGGAGGCUACUGAGACUAAUACUCUUGGAUAGUGGACGUUACUCGCAGAAUAAGCACCGGCUAACUCUGUGCCAGCAGCCGCGGUAAUACAGAGGGUGCGAGCGUUAAUCGGAUUUACUGGGCGUAAAGCGUGCGUAGGCGGCUUUUUAAGUCGGAUGUGAAAUCCCCGAGCUUAACUUGGGAAUUGCAUUCGAUACUGGGAAGCUAGAGUAUGGGAGAGGAUGGUAGAACUCCAGGUGUAGCGGUGAAAUGCGUAGAGAUCUGGAGGAAUACCGAUGGCGAAGGCAGCCAUCUGGCCUAAUACUGACGCUGAGGUACGAAAGCAUGGGGAGCAAACAGG
rnacentral:rRNA from 1 species